rnacentral:tRNA from 2 species
GCCGGAGUAGCUCAAUGGCAGAGCGUCCGAUUUGUAAUCGGCUGACGGAGGUCCGAUUCCUCUCUCCGGCU